rnacentral:rRNA from 1 species
UACGAAGGGGGCUAGCGUUGCUCGGAAUUACUGGGCGUAAAGCGCACGUAGGCGGCUUCUUAAGUCGGUGGUGAAAUCCUGGAGCUCAACUCCAGAACUGCCUUCGAUACUGGGAAGCUCGAGUCCGGGAGAGGUGAGUGGAACUGCGAGUGUAGAGGUGAAAUUCGUAGAUAUUCGCAAGAACACCAGUGGCGAAGGCGGCUCACUGGCCCGGUACUGACGCUGAGGCGCGAAAGCUAGGGUAGCAAACGGG